CUCGGUAUCUUGGAAGAGCGUACUGGCAUUAGAACAUUGAACUGUCGACUGUGGCAAACAGUACUCUUUAAGUUUGACCUCAAAUCAGGUAGGAAUACCCGCUGAACUUAAGCAUAUCAAUAAGCGGAGGAAAAGAAACCAACCGGGAUUGCCUUAGUAACGGCGAGUGAAGCGGCAAAAGCUCAAAUUUGAAAUCUGGUACCUUCGGUGCCCGAGUUGUAAUUUGUAGAGGGCGACUUUGGGGCGGCUCCUUGUCUAUGUUCCUUGGAACAGGACGUCAUAGAGGGUGAGAAUCCCGUGUGGCGAGGAGUGCGGUUCCGUGUAAAGCGCUCUCGAAGAGUCGAGUUGUUUGGGAAUGCAGCUCUAAGUGGGUGGUAAAUUCCAUCUAAAGCUAAAUAUUGGCGAGAGACCGAUAGCGAACAAGUACAGUGAUGGAAAGAUGAAAAGAACUUUGAAAAGAGAGUGAAAAAGUACGUGAAAUUGUUGAAAGGGAAGGGCAUUUGAUCAGACAUGGUGUUUUGUGCCCCUCGCUCCUUGUGGGUGGGGGAAUCUCGCAGCUCACUGGGCCAGCAUCAGUUUUGGCGGUCGGAUAAAACCAGGGGAACGUAGCUUGCUUCGGGAAGUAUUAUAGCCUCUGGGAAUACGGCCAGCCGGGACUGAGGAACGCGAUUCGUCAAGGAUGCUGGCAUAAUGGUUAUAUGCCGCCCGUCUUGAAACACGGA
rnacentral:rRNA from 1 species